AGUUUGUCCCUUUUCGACGCCCGUUCAAGGUUCUAUUUCCGGAAAGUUUUCACAACAAUGGCGACUGCGCAGCACCGCGGCGAAGGGCCUCGGGCUGGAGGUAACUGUAGCUCUCCUUUGGCCACAACGGCUACAGUCGCUCACCUUGGUAAGUUGUUUCGCCUCCAGCAGGAGCGGAGGAGAAGGCAAACGAUGGGAAAUGUAACACUGUCUCCAACAGCCCUGGAGGAGGAGGAUGUGGUGGUGGUGGACUUGGGAAGCGACCAGGAAGCAAGGACGAGCUCCAUAACCAGCCAGCGCCUCCCAAAAUCUCCAAACCCAGCAUCAGUAUCGCUAAGAAGUCUGCUCCUAUUUCCAUUAAGCUAGGAGCUAGCAAACCGAAAGAAGCAGCGCCUGUUCUAACCUCCAAAAAACCUGCAUCUGUUUUUGAUGACGAUGACAGUGAACCAGAGGAGAUGCCUCCAGAAGCGAAGAUGAGGAUGAAGAACAUUGGGAGGGACACCCCAACUUCAGCAGGCCCAAACUCGUUCAACAAAGGCAAGCAAGGUUUCUCUGACCACCAGAAGCUUUGGGAGAGGAAGCUCAAAUCUCAGAUUGAUCAAUAACUCCUGCCAUUAUAACUGCCUUCAAUCCCUUAAAUCCCUUGUUUCUUGUUUUUUUUUUUGUUUGUUUGUUUUUUCCUGAAAGACUUUUGUAAAAUAUACAUGUACAUACGUGAUGAAACUACCACACCAACGCCACUUUUUAUUAGAUGUGAUAGUUGUUUUUGUUUUUUUUGCCACAAAAUUAUAGCCUUUCAUUCAUUUCUGUGGAUGGCGUUGACAGUAAUUCAUAUUUUCCUCCAAGCGUAUCACAGUUAUUUGAUCUGUUGUAGUACCAAAUACUGUAUAGACAGACAUUAUUAGCAAUAAGGAAGUAGAUUAUAUUAGAUAAGCUGUAGAGUUCCUGAUGCUGAUAAAAUGUAUCGGGGUAAGAAUGUGUUCUCUGUGCUGUGUGAUGGAAAGAUGAUUAAAUCUAUAUGAUGAGACAUG